UGUAAACAGAAAAGAAACAAGUCAAAGAUUAAAUAUAACUGGGUGGCUAAAAGUAGAUCAGGGAAGCAGGGAAGCAAGUGGUGUUUAUUACUCAGCUAUGACAGCACCUGCAGGCUUGUGUUUGAAAAGAGUAUGGAGAGCAUCUGCACCUCCAACAGCACCUGGAGCAACUGCAAGCAAGCAGGCUUAGCUGUGAAGGAAGGGAGCAGGCACGACACAACAGUGACACUGCUUGGCAGCAAGGAACAGAGAGGAGCUGAACCAGGACCCUCCGAAUGACAGCUGUGCUGACAAGCAGUCCUUGGAAGUGUGCGAGGAAAUGAUACGUGCCUGGCAGUCUUGCUGCUGCUCCUCCACUGCUGUGCCCUCUGUGCUGAAGAUCAUAAUGAAAUCCUAAGCAGGCAGAGAACCUCCUAAAAACAUUUCACCUUUUGCACCAUCCAUGCAGAGAUGUCUGUGGCUUUUUCCACAUGAAGUUGCUGGCAACAAAAAUGAGCUUCGUGACAGGAAGGAGGAGUUUGCUUGAACAAAAGCAGUGAAUGGCACAAAACAGUGUUUCUGUGGAUGAAAAAUUACACAUGAAAGAAAGGUAGGGAACAGUUGGCCAGGUGGCAGAAUCCCACCGCAUCCCUCAAGAUGCUGCUGGAAUGCAAAAGAAAUUGGAUUACCAACAGCAUGAUGCAAAUAGUGUACCAAAGAGAAAUUAGCCCUCAGAAAAUUCUGAACAGCAGCACUAUUUGUGAAAUGGAGGUUAAUUUCAUUUCUCUUCUUGGCAGGGGUGAGACCAGCUGAAAUACUUCACCAGCUUUCAGGCACUGACCUUGGCUGGAAAUGUGGACCCACUGGAGAGAAUUUAGAGAGCAGUAAAAUGAACAUGAGGGUCAGGAAAUGAGGAAAGGUUGAGAGCAGUGGGUAUGCUUAAUCUAGAAAAUGAAACAUUUAGUAAGGAACACGAGAAGUUUUCCAUUAUAUAAAAGGUUGCUAUUUGAGAAGAUAAAGAUCAGUUGUUCUUCUUGAUUCUUUAGGAAGAGCAGAAUGAAAUCAGAAUUAUUUUUGCUUCCUCUGCAAUUAAAAAGUCUCAGACUGGAUACUGUGUAAAGUAUGUCCUAUGCUGAAGUAGUAAUACUCCUACCAGACUGCUUGAGGAUGUAUAACAUCCUCAUUUCUUAUUAGUUUGUUACCAGAAAUCUCAAUGGCUAAAACAUGUUUAUGAAACACUAACUUUGCUUUUCGGAAGUUCGUGAAGUGCCUUCGGGACACACAGGGCUACUGAGUAAUUUCUAGAUAAAAUGAACAAAGAUGUUUUGUUCCUAACAAUAUGUGCUUCUAAUUAUCUUGAGAGCACUGUCGGAGUGGCUCACCCUUUCAGAACUAAUUCUGAUACUGAGCUUUAGAGAGAAUUAGACGUGCUACAGUCCAGUCAACACAAGGAAAGUAACUUGGAAAAUUAAAAACUCCUAAGGAAGUUAAACAAGGGAAAUGAUUGAUUAUGUGGUUAAUGAAAAGAAUGUCUGAAGAUGCUGUAGGAAGAAGAAACAGUUGCGGGCAUGUGACAAAGUGACCUCGACAAAGCUAUGCAUGCAGGUGAUGAAGAAAAAUCUUCCUAACAGAGAGCUGUAAAAGAGCUGGGUGGAAGCAGGAGAGUGGGCAGAUUAAAGCAGUGGCAGAUGAAGUGUAGGAGGCAGCAAAGAAAAGCUGCAAAAUACAUGAGGAUGAAGGAAAGGUUUUCCUUCCCACUUCCUUACGUUACAAGAUAGGCCUGCUUGAAAGAACUGAAAAAGAAAACAGAAAAUAUUCUUCAGCCUUGAGAUGCCUUGUAUGGUUCCUGAGGAAGACAUAGUGUCAUCAGAAACCACUACCUCACUCCAGGAAUGCCUGUUCGGAUAUACUUCUGGAUACCACAAACCGUAUCUGGAGCUCACGUUCCUAACCCUGUAGCUACCUGUGUGUACACAGAAAAGUCUUGCAUGUUAUUUCUAUGCCUCUGUUGAAUCCUGAAUUUGCAGUUUAAUGAUUCCAUUCCUUCAUUUUAAUUUCGUUAGCUCUAUUACUGCAUGUGUUUCUCCCUUGCUAAAGUUACAAGAUGACUGGUGACCUUGCCUUAAAAUGCGUAAGUGACAUAACCACCAUACUACUUCUUUGGUACGUAUCUCUUAUUCUAGAAUUGGAGCAGGUGCUUCGCUUUUUAAAUCUAACAGCUACAUAUAUGUAAACACUAGCUAUAUAUAUAUAUAUCUAUAUGUAGCUAUAUAUAUAUUGUACAUAUAUAUAGCAUAUGUACAUAUAUAUACAUAUGUACAAAUAGGGUUAUGGCUGUUGGCAUGGUCACAUCUGCACUAUAAAACUCUUAUAGCUACCAAAAAAGGACCACACCCAAAUCUGCAUGGGCAAUGUAUCCUUGGCCAUGCUGGAACCAACUUGUACACAGGAAUUGUUUGGGAAAAAUGGCAUGUCCUAGCCCAAAAGGGGGCCAAGGAGCACUCUAAGACUAUGACAGCGUUGAUGAGUGAAUCUCUGGGAGUCUCCUGUUCUAUUCAUGACUAGCCACUGUGUUCUACUUUCAGAAAUUGUUCUUGGAGAAAGCGGUCUUUCCAGACUCUGAUCCAGACAGGGAUAAAUGGGACAGCAAUUUGGCCUGCUUGUUGUCCAUUCUGGCAUGAGCAUGUAUAAGAUAUCCAGCCUGCCCAUUUUGUCUUUGUCCCACAUGGCUGGUGCCCCUCACCACACACGCUGCUGUGCAGAGCUGAUAGGAAACUUAAAUGUGGCAUUAUCUAAUCAUAACGUCACUAACAUUUACUUGAAUGAUUAACUCCAAGGCUCAAGGUCUAUGUUCUCUUCUCCUGCAUGUGAUUUACCACGCUAACAACCUCCCACCCCACAUUUUCCUUACUUUCAAACAAACCUUUGAAGCUUUUGCAGUUAACACUCUCUUACUUAACCUUGUAGCCCUAGGCAUAGAAGUGUAAGCUAAAAGCUGAAAUUCUAUCACUUCUGAGAGGCUCUGAGAAGAGAAUUAGGUGGCUUUGGAUAGACUUUUGUAAGGUCAUCUUACAAAACUGAUGAACAUGAGGAGAAAAAAUCUCAUCUUAGAAAAGAAUGCUACUGCUUGUGCUGUUAAAUACGAAUGUAAUAAAACGUGUCUCCUUCCCUUUUGCCUGACUUUAAGAUCUCUGCAACUCUGACAGCUGUAUAUGAACUAAUGCAUUAUGAUGACCACUUUUAGACGUUUAUUUCAGAAUGGGAUGAAUUGCAUUUGAGCAGUGACUUUCUCCACUGGCAGCCCGUGGUGAUGAGUUCAG
ensembl:lncRNA